CUUUUCCACUUGUUCACAGGCAGCUCCUGGGGCAGCACUGAUGUAUGCCUGGAAACAUGACAGCCGCCAAAGAGGUAGAGAAAAGGAGUGUGGGCACCAAGGAAGAAAAUAGCCAGCAAUGAAAAAAUGUCUUCAGGUGAGGAUAAAGAAGAAAAGAAAAUGCCAAGUGUUGGGAAUUCAACCUCAGGCCUGAGGGUAAAACUCUUUCCGCCAGCAAGACUGUCCUUCCUGAAAAGAAUGAUUACUUCCAGUGGAAUGUCUGUGCAAUAGAGUCGUCAUGGUGUUUCCCAAGCAAUGAUGGUGCUUGGAAGUCAGGAAAGAAAAGAAGGAAGAAGAAAAUGAAAGGAUUGGUUCAGUGAGAGUGAGGAAGCCACCAAGAACAGACAGAAGUGUGAAAAGCCCUAAGGAAACAACAUCCUACUUUCCACGCACCUGCCUGAGAGGUGCGUGCCUCCAAAAACAGCUCCACCAACCUGGGCCAAGGCUUCUUCAGCAGAUCCUUUGGGAAAACCCGAAGGAAGGUCCUCCUCUCAGAGCCCAGGAUCCCACCCGCAUCACAGGAUCCAGGAAGUAGCAUGGACUGUCCCUGGCAGUGGAAGGAUAAGCCCCAGAUUGCCCCCUUUCUGGUCUGGGGCUCCUCCUCCUGCGUUGGGGGGCAGUGGCAUCCAGCACAUACUAUGCCAAGGCCAUCCUGUCCAACCUUGGCUAUGCUGCGGGAGCCUGCUGGUAGUGUCAUCUUCCAGGUCCCUGCACCUGCCCUCUGGCUGUCCUUGAGCCUUUGUGGGGCUGACAUGCAGGAGAAUGGGUGUGGGGAGCGUGCCUAUAUGGCGGGGGGUGCCUGCGUGCCUGCCUCCUUUUCCACUCCUUACCCCAAGUUUUGUCUCAAACCCUCUUCUUAUCUAGUAUCCAUCCCCAGUCCCUGGGCCCCCGCAGAUCCCCAUGCAGCUGCCUAGGGAGGCCCGAGGCUCAUGACAGUCCUCGUGAGCAGGAUGGACCUCGGAGGAGCCAUGGCCUGAGCAGGCGUAAGGGGCCUUGUGUAGCUUCUAGGAGGCUUACAUAAACACUGGCUGGGACAGAGAGGAAAGGGGGGGUGCGAUGGGCUGCCCGGGGAAAAAAAGCAACCCCAGCCCUGCCAGCUCAGCCUGCAUGGAAAGAAGAAACAAGGCUCAUUUUCCCUCCUCUCAUCCCUUUCCCCUGGUCUGCAGCUGUUAGUUGUUGGGCUGGAAAGACUGCGGUAUCUUGGGGG